rnacentral:tRNA from 1 species
GGCGUCGUGGCCGAGUAGUUAGGCAACGGUCUGCAAAACCGUGUACUCGGGUGCAAAUCCCGACGACGCCUCCA